CUCAGCAGACUAUCAGCUUCCAAAAGCUGUGGCCUUUUCCCUGCUCUGCUGGGACCCACCUGCCUGACGUCCCUGUCAGUUUGUUUGCUGUUUCAUUUUGCUCUUAUCUCUGCCACAAAGUCAGGUGGACAGAUUUUGGAAUAGACUUCCAGAAGUGAGCCUUAAUGAAAUAUGAAGAAGACUAAAACCCCUAAAGUCAGGGUCUGAAGGCCCGGGAAGCCCAGAAAAGACCUCAAAUUGUGUUUUUUUCAAAAUGGUCAGAGGACUGUGCCCAGGCACCAAGACAAGGCGUUUGGAGAGAAUGAGAGUCAUCUGGAAGGAACUGGGGAUGAUGGGAAGCUGUGCUCAAUUUAAUUUACAGAUUCCAUAAAGACUGACAUGUGAGUGUCCAGAGACUGCGACAUCAGGAAUGGUGGGAUAUGCCUGUGAUUCUAGCACCAGAGAGCUGAUGGCUGAGGAUGGCUCGAGUUCCUUUGGGAAUACCCAGCUAACUAUAGCUGCAGUGUAAGACCAUGCCGAAAAAAGAAGAGGGAAUGGAGAGAAGCAUCUCCCUGAAGGCUCUGUAUAUUGGUCUGUCCCCUCCCCCCGA